UACGUAGGGUGCAAGCGUUAAUCGGAAUUACUGGGCGUAAAGGGCGCGUAGGCGGCCUUGUAAGUCUCGUGUGAAAGCCCUCGGCUUAACUGAGGAUCUGCACGGGAUACUGCGAGGCUUGAGUUCGGGAGAGGAAAGCGGAAUUCCGGGUGUAGCGGUGAAAUGCGUAGAUAUCCGGAGGAACACCAGUGGCGAAGGCGGCUCACUGGCCCGGUACUGACGCUGAGGUGCGAAAGCGUGGGGAGCAAACAGG
rnacentral:rRNA from 1 species